UACGUAGGGCGCGAGCGUUGUCCGGAAUUAUUGGGCGUAAAGCGCGCGCAGGCGGUCCUUUAAGUCUGAUGUGAAAGCCCUCGGCUCAACCGAGGAGGGUCAUUGGAAACUGGAGGACUUGAGUGCAGAAGAGGAAAGUGGAAUUCCAAGUGUAGCGGUGAAAUGCGUAGAGAUUUGGAGGAACACCAGUGGCGAAGGCGACUUUCUGGUCUGUAACUGACGCUGAGGCGCGAAAGCGUGGGGAGCAAACAGG
rnacentral:rRNA from 1 species